rnacentral:rRNA from 1 species
AUUGAACGCUGGCGGCAUGCCUAAUACAUGCAAGUCGAGCGGACGAAGGGAGAUUUCUCUUGGAUUCAGUGACGGACGGGUGAGUAAUUCCUAGGAAUCUGCCCUGCAUAUGGGGAUAACGUCCGUUAACGGGCGCUUAUAUCGCACCCGUCCUGAGUUAGAAAGUCGUGGAUCUUCGGACCUCACCCUACUUGAUGACCCUAGUUCGCAUUAGCUAGCUGGUUAGGUAAAGGCCUACCAAGGCGACGAACCGUAACUGAUCUGAGAGGAUGAUCAGUCACACUGGAACUGAGACACGGUCCAGACUCCUACGGGAGGCAGCAGUAGGGAAUAUUGGGCAAUGGGCGAAAGCCUGAUCCAGCAAUGCCGCGUGUGUGAAGAAGGUCUUCGGAUUGUAAAACACUUUAAGUAGGGAGGAAGGUAAGUGUGAGAAUACCUUGCUAUCUUGACGUUACCAACAGAAAAAGCACCGGCUAACUACGUG